rnacentral:misc_RNA from 1 species
AAUCUCACUCCCUUUGGGUUUUUUGACCCGAUUGGAUGUGGACUUGGGCGUCUUGUCUUUCAUUAGACUCGCCUUAAAUGUAUUAGUGGAAUGAAAGCUAAUGGCUAAGACGUAAUAAGUUUCGUCUAAGCUGGGCCAGAAGUCUGCUUACAACCCCCCAAUUUCUAUGA